AGCCAACAAUGUCAACUUCUCACACAACGUUUAGGCACAAGAAAAUAUACCUCAACACGAGGAUUGGAUUACCGAAACCGGCAACCAGGAGGACAUAGACACACCUGCUCAUGGCAUGCGAUAUCCCCGACAUGUACAAGAGGCCACUUUUGAUAAGCUGAAGAUGAGCACGUUGCAGAAUGGUGACACCAUGGCCAUCUCUUACUGCAAGUCAGGCCAAGAAAAAACUAAGGCAAGCAUUGUUGGGUGCUUCCAACAGUGCGACUGGAAGAAGCCCAAUUCUUCCUAGUGCUCCCACAAAUCAAACAUCACAAAG
rnacentral:lncRNA from 1 species